rnacentral:rRNA from 1 species
GAUGAACGCUGGUGGCGUGCCUAACACAUGCAAGUCGAGCGAUUCUCUUCGGAGAAGAGCGGCGGACGGGUGAGUAACGCGUGGGUAACCUGCCCUGUACACACGGAUAACAUACCGAAAGGUAUGCUAAUACGAGAUAACAUGCUUUUAUCGCAUGGUAGAAGUAUCAAAGCUUUUGCGGUACAGGAUGGACCCGCGUCUGAUUAGCUAGUUGGUGAGGUAACGGCUCACCAAGGCGACGAUCAGUAGCCGACCUGAGAGGGUGAUCGGCCACAUUGGAACUGAGACACGGUCCAAACUCCUACGGGAGGCAGCAGUGGGGAAUAUUGCACAAUGGGCGAAAGCCUGAUGCAGCAACGCCGCGUGAGCGAUGAAGGCCUUCGGGUCGUAAAGCUCUGUCCUCAAGGAAGAUAAUGACGGUACUUGAGGAGGAAGCCCCGGCUAACUACGU